UGGGGAAUUUUCCGCAAUGGGCGCAAGCCUGACGGAGCAACGCCGCGUGAGGGAGGAAGGCCUGUGGGUUGUAAACUUCUUUUCUCUGGGAAGAAGAACUGACGGUACCAGAGGAAUCAGCAUCGGCUAACUCUGAGCCAGCAGCCGCGGUAAUACAGAGGGGGCAAGCGUUGUCCGGACUUACUGGGCGUAAAGCGCACGCAGGUGGUAACGCAAGAGGGGUGUGAAAGCCGCCAGCUCAACUGGCGGAGGCCAUCCCAAACUGCGUCACUUGAGGCCUGUAGAGGUAUGUGGAAUUGCCGGUGUAGUGGUGAAAUGCGUAGAGAUCGGCAGGAACACCCAGGGGGAAGCCAGCAUACUGGACAGGUCCUGACACUCAGGUGCGACAGCGUGGGGAGCGAACCGGAUUAGAUACCCCCGUAGUCC
rnacentral:rRNA from 1 species